GCCAUGGAGAGGUGCAGCUUGCUGGCUUGCU
rnacentral:piRNA from 1 species